UGUGAAAGUGAUCUGACUGUGACAUCUAUAAUCCCAUUGAUCACCAGGUUGAUUAGGCUGAUCUGGCUGGAUAGGCAUGUAUUGCUUUCCUCCGUCACUGCCCCAUGUGCAUCCCUUCUGAAGCUACAUGCUUCAGAAGUUCCCUGAAUAGAGGAGGACUCAUCUUCAUUCAAGAGUUUACAAGUACUGGGAUUCCCUGCUAGAACCUCCAAACAAACUUUUCAAAAUUCUUAAUGCUGUAACACUUUACUACAGUCCAUCAUGUUAUGGUGAACACCAACCAUA
ensembl:misc_RNA Gm25293 predicted gene, 25293